CGAGCGAAAUAUUGGGAGCUUGCUUUUGAUUAUUUUAGCGGCGGACGGGUGAGUAACGUGUGGGUAACCUGCCUUUUACUGGGGAAUAAUCACUGGAAACGGUGACUAAUACCGCAUACGGUUCUUGGAAGGCAUCUUCUAGGAAAGAAAGGAUUUAUUCGGUAAAAGAUGGGCCCGCAUCUGAUUAGCUAGUUGGUGAGAUAACAGCCCACCAAGGCGACGAUCAGUAGCCGACCUGAGAGGGUGACCGGCCACAUUGGGACUGAGACACGGCCCAAACUCCUACGGGAGGCAGCAGUGGGGAAUAUUGCACAAUGGGCGAAAGCCUGAUGCAGCAACGCCGCGUGAAGGAAGACGGUUUUCGGAUUGUAAACUUCUAUCAAUAGGGAAGAAAGGAAUGACGGUACCUAAAUAAGAAGCCCCGGCUAACUACGUGCCAGCAGCCGCGGUAAUACGUAGGGGGCAAGCGUUAUCCGGAAUUACUGGGUGUAAAGGGAGAGUAGGCGGCAAGGUAAGCGAUAUGUGAAAGCCUUAGGCUUAACCUGAGGAUUGCAUAACGAACUAUCUAGCUAGAGUACAGGAGAGGAAAGCGGAAUUCUUAGUGUAGCGGUGAAAUGCGUAGAUAUUAGGAAGAACACCAGUGGCGAAGGCGGCUUUCUGGACUGAAACUGACGCUGAGGCUCGAAAGCGUGGGGAGCGAACAGGAUUAGAUACCCUGGUAGUCCACGCUGUAAACGAUGAGUGCUAGGUGUCGGGGAGGAAAUCCUCGGUGCCGG
rnacentral:rRNA from 1 species